UGAGACUGGAACCACAGCCACUCGGUGACUGAGUAACAAGGGGUCAGGAUAUACUGAAAACAACUCAAGAUAAAUCCAGGGAGGCAGGAAACCAUAAAGUCACCAAGACCACAUUCAGGCAAGAAAUACAAAGGACAGAAAGUUUUACAGCUUCAACCUUCACCUGUCUUUGCAUAACAGCAUAUUUUCAUCAGAAAUUUGUAAGUAUCUUUUUAUUUUUCUGUACUUAAGUAAUUAGAGACUGAUCGGGGGAAUAAAUAGCUCCUCU
rnacentral:lncRNA from 1 species